rnacentral:misc_RNA from 1 species
UCCAAUAUCUGACUGAG